CAUGUACUGGUCUGAAUGUAUCAACUCAAUCUUCAUGAUAACCCUAGAAGGUGCCCAUUCAGGCUGUUAUAACAAAAUACUUAGUCUGGAUAAUUUAUAAACAACAGAAAUGUAUUGCUUACAGGUCUAGAGGCUGAGGAGUCCAAGAUCAAGACAUUAACGGAUUGGCUGUCUUGUGAGGGCCCAUCCUUGUAGCUGGAAGCUUCUGUGUUUCCUCUUUUGGCAGAAGAAGUAAAACAAGCUCCCUUAGGUUCUUAUAUAAGGGCACUAAUCCCAUUUAUGAGGGCACAGCCCUCUUAACCUAAUCACCUUUCAAAGACCCACCCCGUAAUGCUAUUAUCUCAGGGGUUGUUUCAACAUAUGAAUUAUGGAGGUGCACACACAUUCAGACCUUAACAGCUGCUACUAUUAUCAACUUUAUUUUUGCAAAUGAGAAAGCUGAAUUUGGGAAACUGAAGUAAAUUGCUGGGAGCAAUAUGCACCCAAUAAGCAGUAAAGGUAGGAGCUGCCUCCACUUGUCUAGCUUCUAAGUGGUCUCGGUUACAAUGCUGCACCUGCCUCUUACAGAGGGAAGAAUGAAUCAUGGAUCAAGCUGAAGCACUGGGGUGAGACAUGACUGGCAAGCAACCCAGGAAUGGAGUGGCAGGGGGAGUUAAGAAGACAUGUGAUGAGUGAGAGGGGGCAGAAGGCAGGGAGCACGCCAGCUGAAGGUCCAAUCUCACACAGGGAGAAAGGCCUAAAGAAUCUCUGGUGGACAAGUUCUGGAUGGCAUUGGAGACAGGGAAGUCUUCACUCAUUUGGUGGCUUUUCUGAAUCUCAGAGGAACCUAUAUUUUUGAUAGAGAGAAAUCAUGAAGACUGGCUUCCCAAGCUUCAGCCUCAGGAGAGGCGCCAUGUGGUAGGGACAGGUCUAAGGUGAGCUGGGCUGGGACACAGGGAGGGAAAUGACCUGACCCAGAAGAAGCAGCUGGGUGUUCUCUUCCAGGGUCCCUUCUUUGAGCAGAUUCCAAUGGGGCAUCGGGGAAGUACUCAGAGUCUUCCUCCUUCCUGCUGGAUCGGGUAGCAGGCUGACUUCUGUGAGAGGUCCGAGAAGCGGCACCUGUGGGGGCCCUGACCCUCCUUCCCCUCAUCCAUUUAUUAUUGAUCAGUCAUUGGCCAAGGCCUCCACCAUGCAAAGCAUGGGGGACAAAGAGCCAUCUCUGAUGGA
rnacentral:lncRNA from 13 species